GAUGAACGCUGGCGGCGUGCUUAACACAUGCAAGUCGAACGAUGAAGCCCAGCUUGCUGGGUGGAUUAGUGGCGAACGGGUGAGUAACACGUGAGUAACCUGCCCUUGACUCUAGGAUAAGCCCGGGAAACUGGGUCUAAUACUGGAUAGGAACGUCUACCGCAUGGUGGGUGUUGGAAAGAAUUUCGGUCAUGGAUGGACUCGCGGCCUAUCAGCUUGUUGGUGAGGUAAUGGCUCACCAAGGCGACGACGGGUAGCCGGCCUGAGAGGGUGACCGGCCACACUGGGACUGAGACACGGCCCAGACUCCUACGGGAGGCAGAAGUGGGGAAUAUUGCACAAUGGGCGAAAGCCUGAUGCAGCGACGCCGCGUGAGGGAUGACGGCCUUCGGGUUGUAAACAUCUUUCAGUGGGGAAGAAGCGAAAGUGACGGUACCUGCAGAAGAAGCACCGGCUAACUACGUG
rnacentral:rRNA from 1 species